rnacentral:lncRNA from 1 species
GGGGUCUUCUUCGUGAAAUAUUCAGUUGAGAGGACACGACUCAUAUGGUAUCUAUCUCUUGGUUAUCCAUACUAGACCAAAAAAAUAAACACUAAACAUAGAAGAAUUGGCUCAGGUUACAAAUUUAUAGUCUCUAACUAUGUCUUUUAGAGGUUCCUUUUCCCCCUUCUUUGCAAGGCCGAAGAUUAAGAGGCUUCAAGGAGUAGGGACUUCACUAAAAAAAUUUCAUUAAAAGGCCUUAGGUUUCUGAGGAUAGCGUCGAUGAAACUCCUAUACCUUUUACGAUGUAUUGAUAAGAUUUUUUCUUGAUUUCCAUGUCCACUCAUUGAUAUCAUAGCCGCUCUAAUGCUCUAAGUACUCCAAUUUUCUUCACUUACACCUCAAAUCUAGUACCUUUUCU